CCCUCAGGUGCUGAUAGGUAGGAUAGCAGCCAGCUGCCUAGUUGUUACAUCACAAAUGCCUCAUCCUUUAAAGGUGCAUUAGCCCACUGCGUACCCUCAAGAAGCUCACAGACCAUCAGAAUAAGCAAGCUGACUCAGCCCAGGGGACAAAUGGAGCCCUCAUAACUGGGCACUAAGUGCAACCCAAACUGAGUGAAGAUGGCAAAACACAAAAGAUCAUGUGCUUGUGGAUCCAAACGCCACCAUCGAGGUGUCAGGAGGAAUAAAAAGAAGAAGAAGAAUUGUGCCAAGCAUCUAAUCAGUAAGAAUGGGUACGUGCGCAUUACGACCACCUGCCGUUACAAGAGAAAGUAGUCUGGUUUCUGAAAUACCUCAGAAAGGACUGUCUGGUUCAAACACCAUCCACCACAAAGCCAACUACUCAGUGAUGUGAACAGGGAUCAACAACAACAACAUCCAAGGGAACAUCAUAGUGUUCACAGCACAAGACCCUGGGACUGCUGCCUUGCUCUGGUAGCAAGCGAGCUUGCCAAUACAAUUGUAACAUGCA